rnacentral:tRNA from 1 species
AGAAAUUUAGGUUAAACAGACCAAGGACCUUCAAAGCCCUAAGUAAGUACUUACACUUAAUUUCUG